GUAGGUGGCAAGCGUUGUCCGGAAUUAUUGGGCGUAAAGCGCGCGCAGGCGGUCCUUUAAGUCUGAUGUGAAAGCCCACGGCUCACCGUGGAGGGUCAUUGGAAACUGGGGGACUUGAGUACAGAAGAGGAAAGCGGAAUUCCAAGUGUAGCGGUGAAAUGCGUAGAGAUUUGGAGGAACACCAGUGGCGAAGGCGGCUUUCUGGUCUGUAACUGACGCUGAGGCGCGAAAGCGUGGGGAGCAAACAGGAUUAGAUACCCUGGUAGUCCACGCCGUAAACGAUGAGUGCUAAGUGUUAGGGGGUUUCCCGCCCCCCUUAGUGCUGCAGCUAACGCAUUAAGCACUCCGCCUGGGGGAGUACGGCCCGCAAGGCUG
rnacentral:rRNA from 1 species